UGGCUCAGAACGAACGCUGGCGGCAGGCUUAACACAUGCAAGUCGAGCGCGCGCUUUCGGGCGUGAGCGGCGGACGGGUGAGUAACGCGUGGGAACGUGCCCUCUUCUGCGGGAUAGCCACUGGAAACGGUGAGUAAUACCGCAUACGCCCUUUUGGGGAAAGAUUUAUCGGAGGAGGAUCGGCCCGCGUUGGAUUAGGUAGUUGGUGGGGUAAUGGCCUACCAAGCCGACGAUCCAUAGCUGGUUUUAGAGGAUGAUCAGCCACACUGGGACUGAGACACGGCCCAGACUCCUACGGGAGGCAGCAGUGGGGAAUCUUAGACAAUGGGGGCAACCCUGAUCUAGCCAUGCCGCGUGAGUGACGAAGGUCUUAGGAUCGUAAAGCUCUUUCGCCUGUGAAGAUAAUGACGGUAGCAGGUAAAGAAACCCCGGCUAACUCCGUGCCAGCAGCCGCGGUAAUACGGAGGGGGUUAGCGUUGUUCGGAAUUACUGGGCGUAAAGCGCACGUAGGCGGAUUGGAAAGUUGGGGGUGAAAUCCCAGGGCUCAACCCUGGAACUGCCUCCAAAACUUCCAGUCUGGAGUUCGAGAGAGGUGAGUGGAAUUCCGAGUGUAGAGGUGAAAUUCGUAGAUAUUCGGAGGAACACCAGUGGCGAAGGCGGCUCACUGGCUCGAUACUGACGCU
rnacentral:rRNA from 1 species